GAACAGGCGUUCGGCCAGCCAUACGACUGCCGUACAAAUGCUGUCCGAAAACCCAGAAUGCGUGGAGAAGCUGCAACGAAUGAUUAGCGCACAUUCAGUAUGCAGCAGCUCCAGAGUCCAGGUAGCCUGCGCCUGGAACACAGCACGGAACAGGAAGGAAUACAAACAAGAAAAAACACAGCACAAAACACCACAAUGCGGCAGAAUGCAGCAGGAAUAUGCAGAAUGCACCCCCAAUGCCGUACGUGGCACUCAAUGUCUUG